UAACUGGGUGUGUAAAUCCCUUUUGACUCAUCUUCUCUGACAGCAGGGUGGAAGAGUAACUGGUCUACCACAACGUUCUCUUGAUUCCCAGUAAGAAAUAUACUUUUCCUCUGAGAAGUCCAUCAAUUAAUAUUAACAAGGAGAAAGAGAAGGAAUAACUUAGCAGGAAGCUUUGACUCUCCCCCGGAUUCGAUUCAAGAGAUCAUCAAGGAAGGAGUCUGACUGUAACAUAUCCCUCUCUUCCUCUGAUGAGAGUGACAACCGGGGUGACUGGAACCAGAGGGCAGCCUACUCUCCUUUGGCAAACAAACACCCACUCUGGUAAGUGCCUUUUAAAGUGCAUCAAGUUUUUGUCUAGGAAAAGGAUGCACAGUUGGCAAGUACAGAGCUGUAAGGGGAUAGCUUUGACAUGCUGAUAAAGCUUCUCAGUUUACUUUGGACUUGACUUUAUCAUUUACUGAAGGAUAUUAUUAGUGUGGAGAUGAUAGCCAUUCUCGGACUUCUCAAACGAAAGCCAGGGAAAUGUAUAUGAACUAAAGGUCUGUUAUGGAGAAUCCGACCCUGUUUGUUCAGUGACUUUGGGAUCCUAAUCGUACAAUUUAACGGAGAUAAGGCCUGUAGCAGAGGGAAAGAGCCCACCCACUUUGGAGCCCCUGAGGAAGACGAGUGAAAGUUAGUCAUGUUAAAAAUGGAAGUUCAUCCAGGGCUGAGCAUGUAUGUAAUAUUUUUUUCCCUCAUUGCAAAUUUAUAUAAAAAUAGAUUUGUUCUUAGAGCCAGAUGGCGUGCAGUACUUCUGAAGUUAAAUCCAGCCUUAUGACAAUGGUCAUGGACAAUAAGGAACUACUUGGACUGGGAUGCCAAAUAUUCAGCUCUUGGUGAGUCCCUUCCAUCAAGCAGGGAUGUCUGAACCUCCUUGAGUGAAAACACCCACACAGGCCCCUUGACAACAUGUGGAUCUAGCUAGAGGCACUUUUUUGACUCUUGUUUUAGGUGGGAUCUCUUUGGUUAUAUUUUUAUGUUUAGUUUUCAUCUGCUUUAUCUUUUCCAGAAAAAAAAAAUAACAAUGAUUAAGAACACAUAAAUAAAAACCUUGGCAUGGAUCAUCAAUUAGCUGGUUGCUUUGCAACAUGAUUUUACUGCUCAUCUUAUGAUGGUUUCAUUGAUUAACUGAUUGAUUGAUUGAUGUACCCAUUCAUUCAGCAGAGCCUACAAUGGUAUACACACAAGAUCCUAGGAUCCUGAGUGAAAAGAUGCACAUUGGGCUUGUCAAAACACGACUUAUAAAAGCUGUGUCUCCUUGGUAAACCCUUUACAAUUUUCUCAGUUUUAGCUACUACAUCUUAUAUAGAAAAUAAUAAGAGUAAUUGUGCCUAAAAUAUCACUUGUAAAAAGAUUUAUAAACUAUAAAACACCAUGCAAAUACUUCUUUAAUUCUCAGAGUCUAAAGCUACAACUGGGCUGUUGUAUAAUUUAAGUGAAUAAGCAUAUUCUAACAUCCAUGCUGGGCUCAGAACUAUGUGAAUUUUAUAGAUAAAAGUCUAAUCUUAUAGAGAUUCCUUACUUAAGAAAGUCUAAAAUCUAGAAGAAAAUAAGUUGGGCUAAGAGAAGGUAAAAAUUUAGUCACUGAGUUUUCCUAAAAUUUUCAGUUAUUAGUAAUUUAUUUGUGGUCCUUCUUCAAGAUCCUGAGCCCUGAUGCUGCAGAACCUGUGGAUGAAUAUACACCAGUUAAUUUAAGGUAUUACACAAAAACCUCUUUAAACAUAAGGACAUUUCUCUUUUAUUUGACAUAAUAUUCUGCUUGCUAAAUAAUUUUACAAUUUCAUGAUAGUUAAGAAAUUUAAUGGCCACUGAAUCCAGGCUUCUUUCCCUUGUAUUUUUCAGAAAUCAAAGUGGAAUGCUAAUUGAAAAAUAUUAAUUUUUAUUGUUCAGAGAAAAUAUUUAAUUGUAUAAGUAAAAUAUCCAAACAUAGGCUUUUGAAAAGAGAGAGAGAGAGAGAGAGA
rnacentral:lncRNA from 1 species